rnacentral:rRNA from 1 species
CGGCACGGGUGAGUAACACGUAUCCAACCUGCCGUCUACUCUUGGACAGCCUUCUGAAAGGAAGAUUAAUACAAGAUGGCAUCAUGAGUCCGCAUGUUCACAUGAUUAAAGGUAUUCCGGUAGACGAUGGGGAUGCGUUCCAUUAGAUAGUAGGCGGGGUAACGGCCCACCUAGUCUUCGAUGGAUAGGGGUUCUGAGAGGAAGGUCCCCCACAUUGGACUGAGACACGGCCCAA